AGUGAACGCUGGCGGUAGGCCUAACACAUGCAAGUCGAACGGCAGCACAGUAAGAGCUUGCUCUUACGGGUGGCGAGUGGCGGACGGGUGAGGAAUACAUCGGAAUCUACUUUUUCGUGGGGGAUAACGUAGGGAAACUUACGCUAAUACCGCAUACGACCUACGGGUGAAAGCAGGGGAUCUUCGGACCUUGCGCGAUUGAAUGAGCCGAUGUCGGAUUAGCUAGUUGGCGGGGUAAAGGCCCACCAAGGCGACGAUCCGUAGCUGGUCUGAGAGGAUGAUCAGCCACACUGGAACUGAGACACGGUCCAGACUCCUACGGGAGGCAGCAGUGGGGAAUAUUGGACAAUGGGCGCAAGCCUGACCCAGCCAUACCGCGUGGGUGAAGAAGGCCUUCGGGUUGUAAAGCCCUUUUGUUGGGAAAGAAAAGCAGCAGGUUAAUACCCCGCUGUUCUGACGGUACCCAAUGAAUAAGCACCGGCUAACUUCGUG
rnacentral:rRNA from 1 species